GACAGAGGGUGCAAGCGUUGUUCGGAAUCAUUGGGCGUAAAGCGCGCGUAGGCGGCUGGCUAAGUCGGAUGUGAAAGCCCGGGGCUCAACCCCGGAAGUGCAUCCGAAACUGGCUAGCUUGAGUCUCGGAGAGGGUAGCAGAAUUCCUGGUGUAGAGGUGAAAUUCGUAGAUAUCAGGAGGAAUACCGGUGGCGAAGGCGGCUACCUGGACGAUGACUGACGCUGAGGUGCGAAAGCGUGGGGAGCAAACAGG
rnacentral:misc_RNA from 1 species